GUCCAGGCUACUAGGGUAGCCUAGUGGACAUGGCAUCUGACCGGUAAGCGGAACAUUGUGGGUUCGUUUCCCAUCCCUGGACA
rnacentral:tRNA from 1 species